UGGGGAAUCUUAGACAAUGGGGGCAACCCUGAUCUAGCCAUGCCGCGUGAGUGAUGAAGGCCUUAGGGUCGUAAAGCUCUUUCGCUGGGGAUGAUAAUGACAGUACCCAGUAAAGAAACCCCGGCUAACUCCGUGCCAGCAGCCGCGGUAAUACGAAGGGGGCGAGCGUUGUUCGGAAUUACUGGGCGUAAAGGGCGCGUAGGCGGCUCUUUAAGUUAGAUGUGAAAUCCCGGGGCUCAACCUCGGAACUGCAUUUGAAACUGGAAGUCUAGAGACCAGGAGAGGUUAGCGGAAUACCGAGUGUAGAGGUGAAAUUCGUAGAUAUUCGGUGGAACACCAGUGGCGAAGGCGGCUCACUGGCUCGAUACUGACGCUGAGGUGCGAAAGUGUGGGGAGCAAACAGG
rnacentral:rRNA from 1 species